rnacentral:rRNA from 2 species
UACGUAGGCGGCUUUUUAAGUCGGAUGUGAAAUCCCUGAGCUUAACUUAGGAAUUGCAUUCGAUACUGGGAAGCUAGAGUAUGGGAGAGGAUGGUAGAAUUCCAGGUGUAGCGGUGAAAUGCGUAGAGAUCUGGAGGAAUACCGAUGGCGAAGGCAGCCAUCUGGCCUAAUACUGACGCUGAGGUACGAAAGCAUGGGGAGCAAACA